AGAACUUCAAAGUUUUGAUAUAGAGAAAAGUAGGCCCAAAGUCUUUAAAGACUUUAAAUAUUUCAGGACCUCACAAAAUUGAGAUGCAAGGUAGCUCAUGGGAAAUGGGCCCUCAAAUAACCUCAGCUGCACCUAGAACCAGCACCUGCAGCAGACUUUUUGUGGCAAUGGUUGUUUUGCUUGAGUUAAAGACCCAGCUGGCCCAGAACAGCAUGCUAACUAGUUGUUAUCAUCCUUACACCAGAGAAGGCAGCCAGGGAUUUUUCUACAAAAUAAGCGAGCCUGCACAUGAAGCCUUAGAAGGGGUGGCUGAGGAAAGACGCUUACUCACCGGGCCCCUGAGCCUCUUUGGCUGCCAGACUCAGCGAGGAGACAGCUUCUGUCUCACUUCAUUCUGCCCAGCUGAUGCUCAAGGUCCACAUCCGUAGGAACUGCCCUGCCGAAUAGAAACAACCCCGUAGAGACAGAUGGAAACAAGUAAACCAAAAACACAAUAUGGAUGCUGCCUUUGUUCCUGCCUUGGAGGUCAUUGGCAUGAUCUCCUCUUCUAGAAGUGCUAUUUUCAUAUGUAUUGUCCUUGGGUGUUGACUUAAAUAGAACCUCCUGGCAAAGGUCUCCUCUCCCACCCAUCACUACAGU